rnacentral:rRNA from 1 species
UACGGAGGGUGCAAGCGUUAUCCGGAUUCACUGGGUUUAAAGGGUGCGUAGGCGGGUUUUUAAGUCAGAGGUGAAAUCCUGGAGCUCAACUCCAGAACUGCCUUUGAUACUGAAAGUCUUGAGUAUGGGAGAGGUGAGUGGAACUGCGAGUGUAGAGGUGAAAUUCGUAGAUAUUCGGAGGAACACCAGUGGCGAAGGCGGCCCGCUGGACAUGUAUUGACGCUGA